CGUGUAGCUCAAUGGAAAGAGCGUCUGUCUCCUAUUUUUUUGAUAAAACAGGAAGUUGCGGGUUCGACUCCCGCCAC
rnacentral:tRNA from 13 species